GAAUUUUGGACAAUUGGCGAAAGCCUUAUCCAGCAAUGCCCCGUGCAGGAUGAAGGCCUUCGGGUUGUAAACUGCUUUUUUACGGAACGCAAAUCUUUGGUUUAAUACCCUUGAUUCAUGACGGUACCGUAAGAAUAAGCACCGGCUAACUCCGUGCCAGCAGCCGCGGUAAUACGUAGGGAGCAAGCGUUAAUCGGAAUUAUUGGGCGUAAAGCGUGCGCAGGCGGUUUGGUAAGACAGAGGUGAAAUCCCCGGGCUCAACCUGGGAACUGCCUUUGUGACUGCAAGGCUAGAGUACGGCAGAGGGGGGUGGAAUUCCGCGUGUAGCAGUGAAAUGCGUAGAUAUGCGGAGGAACACCGAUGGCGAAGGCAACCCCCUGGGCCUGUACUGACGCUCAUGCACGAAAGCGUGGGGAGCAAAC
rnacentral:rRNA from 1 species